GGCAGUGUGGUUUAGUGGAUAGAACACUGAACUGGCACCCAAGAGAUCUGGGUUGUAGUCCCGGCACUGCUA
rnacentral:tRNA from 1 species